AGGAGGUCAAAAAAUGGAGAAAAAAAAAUUACAAUUGCAAAAAAAGUUUGGAUAUUGUGCGUAUACAGGACUGACAAUGUUAUCAAUUGAGAAUGAACUAUUUAAAGACAUUGAUACCACAGAUGUGAUAAAGACUUUUGCAA